UAUUAAAAAUUUCAUUCAUUUCUAUUGUUAAAAACUGGUGUGGCUGAAGAAACAACCAAAUAGUUACAUGUGGCGUGCCAUGUGUACCUCAUGUUGGCAUAGAGAGACCAGUUUUUAACAAAAAAAGUGGAGAAAUUCUUAGCU
rfam:Gossypium hirsutum cultivar TM-1 chromosome 16, whole genome shotgun sequence